GAGUUGAUCCUGGCUCAGGACGAACGCUGGCGGCGUGCCUAAUACAUGCAAGUCGAACGAACUCUGGUAUUGAUUGGUGCUUGCAUCAUGAUUUACAUUUGAGUGAGUGGCGAACUGGUGAGUAACACGUGGGAAACCUGCCCAGAAGCGGGGGAUAACACCUGGAAACAGAUGCUAAUACCGCAUAACAACUUGGACCGCAUGGUCCGAGUUUGAAAGAUGGCUUCGGCUAUCACUUUUGGAUGGUCCCGCGGCGUAUUAGCUAGAUGGUGGGGUAACGGCUCACCAUGGCAAUGAUACGUAGCCGACCUGAGAGGGUAAUCGGCCACAUUGGGACUGAGACACGGCCCAAACUCCUACGGGAGGCAGCAGUAGGGAAUCUUCCACAAUGGACGAAAGUCUGAUGGAGCAACGCCGCGUGAGUGAAGAAGGGUUUCGGCUCGUAAAACUCUGUUGUUAAAGAAGAACAUAUCUGAGAGUAACUGUUCAGGUAUUGACGGUAUUUAACCAGAAAGCCACGGCUAACUACGUGCCAGCAGCCGCGGUAAUACGUAGGUGGCAAGCGUUGUCCGGAUUUAUUGGGCGUAAAGCGAGCGCAGGCGGUUUUUUAAGUCUGAUGUGAAAGCCUUCGGCUCAACCGAAGAAGUGCAUCGGAAACUGGGAAACUUGAGUGCAGAAGAGGACAGUGGAACUCCAUGUGUAGCGGUGAAAUGCGUAGAUAUAUGGAAGAACACCAGUGGCGAAGGCGGCUGUCUGGUCUGUAACUGACGCUGAGGCUCGAAAGUAUGGGUAGCAAACAGGAUUAGAUACCCUGGUAGUCCAUACCGUAAACGAUGAAUGCUAAGUGUUGGAGGGUUUCCGCCCUUCAGUGCUGCAGCUAACGCAUUAAGCAUUCCGCCUGGGGAGUACGGCCGCAAGGCUGAAACUCAAAGGAAUUGACGGGGGCCCGCACAAGCGGUGGAGCAUGUGGUUUAAUUCGAAGCUACGCGAAGAACCUUACCAGGUCUUGACAUACUAUGCAAAUCUAAGAGAUUAGACGUUCCCUUCGGGGACAUGGAUACAGGUGGUGCAUGGUUGUCGUCAGCUCGUGUCGUGAGAUGUUGGGUUAAGUCCCGCAACGAGCGCAACCCUUAUUAUCAGUUGCCAGCAUUAAGUUGGGCACUCUGGUGAGACUGCCGGUGACAAACCGGAGGAAGGUGGGGAUGACGUCAAAUCAUCAUGCCCCUUAUGACCUGGGCUACACACGUGCUACAAUGGAUGGUACAACGAGUUGCGAACUCGCGAGAGUAAGCUAAUCUCUUAAAGCCAUUCUCAGUUCGGAUUGUAGGCUGCAACUCGCCUGCAUGAAGUCGGAAUCGCUAGUAAUCGCGGAUCAGCAUGCCGCGGUGAAUACGUUCCCGGGCCUUGUACACACCGCCCGUCACACCAUGAGAGUUUGUAACACCCAAAGUCGGUGGGGUAACCUUUUAGGAACCAGCCGCCUAAGGUGGGACAGAUGAUUAGGGUGAAGUCGUAACAAGGUAGCCGUAGAGUUUGAUCCUGGCUUAGACUCUCGUAACAAGGUAGCCGU
rnacentral:rRNA from 1 species